rnacentral:tRNA from 5 species
GGGGCUAUAGCUCAGCUGGGAGAGCGCUACAAUGGCAUUGUAGAGGUCGACGGUUCGAUCCCGUCUAGCUCCACCA